AUAGGAGUGAAGCGGAAUAUUUUAAGCGGGCAACGCUAGCCUACAGUCGUAUUGUGCUGUACAUACAUCUAUGUUCUUGCCUUGUGCUCUCCAGCAUACUUCGGUCCCUGGUUCCCAUUCCAAUUACGCAAGCUGUGCUAAUGCCUUCGCAGAAAGAUGAAUAGCAAGCUUAGGCCUCCAGUAUAUGGGUUCACUUUUACUAGAUACGUUGCAGCUGGAAAAGUCAAAACGGAAAAAUGGGGUGAACUUACCAGCAGUCUUCGCACCUUCGACUGUGUGACCUAGUCUCCUCCGUACUUUGACUUCUGCUCAAACGACUAGUCUUUGUUGAGUAAUAGGGUUCCGAGUUAGAUCUUAUCCUGAAGAGCGAAGUUAGAUGCAGGAAA
rnacentral:sRNA from 1 species